UACGAAGGGGGCUAGCGUUGCUCGGAAUCACUGGGCGUAAAGGGUGCGUAGGCGGGUCUUUAAGUCUGGGGUGAAAUCCUGGAGCUCAACUCCAGAACUGCCUUUGAUACUGAGGAUCUUGAGUCCGGGAGAGGUGAGUGGAACUGCGAGUGUAGAGGUGAAAUUCGUGGAUAUUCGCAAGAACACCAGUGGCGAAGGCGGCUAACUGGCCCGGUACUGACGCUGAGGCACGAAAGCGUGGGGAGCAAACAGG
rnacentral:rRNA from 1 species